rnacentral:tRNA from 1 species
GCCGAAUUAGCUUAAUGGUAGAGCAAUUGUUUUGUAAGCAAUAGGUUAUUGGUUCAAGUCCGAUAUUCGGCA